UACAGAGGUGGCAAGCGUUGUUCGGAAUUACUGGGCGUAAAGGGCGCGUAGGCGGCCUGCUAAGUCGAACGUGAAAUCCCCGGGCUCAACCCGGGAACUGCGUCCGAUACUGGUAGGCUUGAAUCCGGGAGAGGGAUGCGGAAUUCCAGGUGUAGCGGUGAAAUGCGCAGAUAUCAGGAGGAACACCAACGGCGAAGGCAGCUCGCUGGGACGGUACUGACACUGAGGCGCGAAAGCGUGGGGAGCGAACAGG
rnacentral:rRNA from 1 species